GGAGGGGUUCCCGAGCGGCCAAAGGGGGCAGACUGUAAAUCUGCUGGCCUAGCGCCUACGUGGGUUCAAAUCCUACCCCCUCCACCA
rnacentral:tRNA from 1 species